UAGAGUGAUGAGGUCGAGUAG
rnacentral:siRNA from 1 species